UACGGAGGGUGCAAGCGUUAUCCGGAUUUACUGGGUUUAAAGGGUGCGUAGGUGGAUAAUUAAGUCAGUGGUGAAAUCUCCCUGCUCAACAGAGAAACUGCCAUUGAAACUAUGUGUCUUGAGUACAUUUGAGGCGGGCGGAAUGUGUCAUGUAGAGGUGAAAUUCUUAGAUAUGACACAGAACACCAAUUGCGAAGGCAGCUCGCUAAACUGUAACUGACGCUGAGGCACGAAAGCGUGGGGAUCAAACAGG
rnacentral:rRNA from 1 species